rnacentral:rRNA from 1 species
UUUGUUACUUCAAACCAAUCGGACUUCSGUCUGACAUCAAGUGAUAUUGAACAAUUUAKCUGAUCGCACGGUCUAAGAACCGGCGACAUAUCCUUCAAAUGUCUGCCUUAUCAACUUUCGAUGGUAGAUUAUGCGCCUACCAUGGUUGUAACGGGUAACGGAGAAUCAGGGUUUGAUUCCGGAGAGGGAGCCUGAGAAACGGCUACCACAUCCAAGGAAGGCAGCAGGCACGCAAAUUACCCACUCCCGGCACGGGGAGGUAGUGACGAAAAAUAACAAGCYGGUCUCAAUGAGUUCCAGCAUUGUAAUGGGAACAAUUUAAAUCUUUUAUCGAGGAUCUAUUGGAGGGCAAGUCUGGUGCCAGCAGCCGCGGUAAUUCCAGCUCCAAUAGCGUAUAUUAAAGUUGUUGCGGUUAAAAAGCUCGUAGUUGGAUCUAGGAUUAGGGCUACKGUCGUUCAGCUUGCACGUACUGUAUGCCCGACUCCUUUUCUCUAGUAUUCGAKUGUUGCUCUKAAAUGAGUGACUUKAGUUGCUGGAACUUUUACCUUGAAAAAAWWGAAGUGCUCRAAGCAGWUA